CUGCAGGGUCAAGGACAAGGUCAGG
rnacentral:miRNA from 1 species